UAUUUCAGUGGGCAUCUUCAUUUUCAUUUACUUAACCCUAAACAACUCAGGAAAUACCGAAAUCUAUUCAACCAAGUCGAUCAAUUCUGCGGCUCAAAGCUCUGCACAGCACAACAGAAUGGCUGAAGAUCUGACAAAUCAAUAUGUUUAUGAGCACCACAUGCUAAAGAAUCGCCUACAAGAGUAUACCCAACGAUCAUCCCUAGAUUUUCCUAUUUAUCAGACUUUUAAUUUAGGCUCACCCAACGAUCAUCCCUAGAUUUUCCUAUUUAUCAGACUUUCAAUUUAGGCUCUUCGCAUGCACCCCUCUUUAGAUCAAGUGUUUUCGUUGAUGGGCGUUGGUAUACCUCUCCUGGCAUAUUUUCACAUCUAAAGACUGCAGAGAAGGAAGCUGCGAGAGUUUCCUUGAUUAGCAUGAAAGAGAAUAUGAAACGUGACAGAUGACCUCUCAUUCCUGAGGAUACUGUGUUUUGCAAGUCCAUCAUGAAUGAGUAUGUCGUAAAAAUGAACCUAAAGAAACCUACUUAUCAGACUGUUCAAUUUGGGGUGGUGCCUGCUGUUUUCAAAUCUAUAUCGGUCUUCAAUGGUAUUCAUUAUAGGGGAGAAACUGGGAAAAACAAGAAAGAAGUUGAACAGCUAGCAGCUCGAGCAGCGGUUAUGUCUA